GACGAACGCUGGCGGCGUGCUUAACACAUGCAAGUCGUACGGUAAGGCCCUUUCGGGGGUACACGAGUGGCGAACGGGUGAGUAACACGUGAGUAACCUGCCCACAACUUUGGGAUAACGCUAGGAAACUGGUGCUAAUACUGGAUAUAUGCUCCUGCUGCAUGGUGGGGGUUGGAAAGCUCCGGCGGUUGUGGAUGGACUCGCGGCCUAUCAGCUUGUUGGUGGGGUAGUGGCCUACCAAGGCGGCGACGGGUAGCCGGCCUGAGAGGGUGACCGGCCACAUUGGGACUGAGAUACGGCCCAGACUCCUACGGGAGGCAGCAGUGGGGAAUAUUGCACAAUGGGCGCAAGCCUGAUGCAGCAACGCCGCGUGCGGGAUGACGGCCUUCGGGUUGUAAACCGCUUUCAGCAGGGACGAAGCUUUUUGUGACGGUACCUGCAGAAGAAGCACCGGCUAACUACGUG
rnacentral:rRNA from 1 species